rnacentral:rRNA from 1 species
UCAGCAGCCGCGGUAAUACGUAGGUGGCAAGCGUUGUCCGGAAUUAUUGGGCGUAAAGCGCGCGCAGGCGGGAUAUUAAGUCUGUUUUAAAAGUUCGGGGCUCAACCCCGUGAUGGAAUGGAAACUAAUAUUCUUGAGUGCAGGAGAGGAAAGUGGAAUUCCCAGUGUAGCGGUGAAAUGCGUAGAUAUUGGGAGGAACACCAGUGGCGAAGGCGACUUUCUGGACUGUGUCUGACGCUGAGGCGCGAAAGCCAGGGGAGUGAACGGGAUUAGAUACCCCGGUAAUCUUGGCCGUAAACGAUGGGUACUAGGUGUAGGAGGUAUCGACCCCUUCUGCGCCGGAGUUAACGCAAUAAGUACCCCGCCUGGGGAGUACGGCCGCAAGGUUGAAACUCAAAGGAAUUGACGGGGGCCCGCACAAGCGGUGGAGUAUGUGGUUUAAUUCGACGCAACGCGAAGAACCUUACCAGGACUUGACAUCGAUUGAAAUACCUAGAGAUAGGUACCUUCCCUUCGGGGAACAAGAAGACAGGUGGUGCAUGGCUGUCGUCAGCUCGUGUCGUGAGAUGUUGGGUUAAGUCCCGCAACGAGCGCAACCCUUAUCCUAUGUUGCCAGCGAGUAAGGUCGGGAACUCAUGGGAGACUGCCGCAGACAAUGCGGAGGAAGGCGGGGAUGACGUCAAGUCAUCAUGCCCCUUAUGUCCUGGGCUACACACGUACUACAAUGGGCUUAAAUAGAGGGAAGCGAAGCCGCGAGGUGAAGCGAACCCCAAAAACAAGCUNNNNGUUCGGAUUGCANGCUGCAACUCGCCUGCAUGAAGUCGGAAUCGCUAGUAAUCGCAGAUCAGCAUGCUGCGGU